rnacentral:rRNA from 1 species
CCUACGGGAGGCAGCAGUGAGGAAUAUUGGUCAAUGGCCGGAAGGCUGAACCAGCCAAGCCGCGUGAAGGACGAAGGUGCCAAGCAUUGUAAACUUCUUUUGUCAAGGGACAAAAUCAGGCUCGAGAGCCUGACCGAGUGUACUUGAAGAAAAAGCAUCGGCUAACUCCGUGCCAGCAGCCGCGGUAAUCCGGAGGAUGCGAGCGUUAUCCGGAUUUAUUGGGUUUAAAGGGUUCGUAGGCGGGCUGUUAAGUCAGCGGUAAAAGCCCGGGGCUCAACCCCGGCGAGCCGUUGAAACUGGCUGUCUGGAGAGGGCGAGAGGUAUGCGGAAUGCGCAGGGUAGCGGUGAAAUGCUUAGAUAUUGCGCAGAACUCCGAUUGCGAAGGCAGCAUACCGGAGGCGAUCUGACGCUGAGGCUCGAAAGCGUGGGGAGCAAACAGGAUUAGAUACCCGGGUAGUC